rnacentral:tRNA from 1 species
UUCCCCGUGGUGUAAUUGGCAGCACCGGUGUUUUUGGUACAUCUGGUCCAGGUUCGAGUCCUGGCGGGGAAA